rnacentral:rRNA from 1 species
AUUGAACGCUGGCGGCAGGCUUAACACAUGCAAGUCGAACGAGAGGCGGACGGGUGAGUAAUGUCUGGGAAACUGCCUGAUGGAGGGGGAUAACUACUGGAAACGGUAGCUAAUACCGCAUACCAUCAGAUGUGCCCAGAUGGGAUUAGAUAGUGGGUGGGGUAAUGGGUCACCAAGGCGACGAUCCCUAGCUGGUCUGAGAGGAUGACCAGCCACACUGGAACGGAGACACGGUCCAGACUCCUCCGGGAGGCAGCAGUGGGGAAUAUUGCACAGUGGGCGAAAGCCUGAUGCAGCAAUGCCGCGUGUGUGAAGAAGGUCUUCGGGUUGUAAAGCACUUUCAGCGGGGAGGCGUUACUCGCAGAAGAAGCACCGGCUAACUCCGUGCCAGCAGCCGCGGUAAUAC